rnacentral:lncRNA from 1 species
CGCCAAGAAACAACGACACCAAGGACAACAUAGGGGCAGUUACUUGCACUUACUAAUACACAAUAAAGUGGA